rnacentral:rRNA from 1 species
ACACGGAGGGUCCAAGCGUUAUCCGGAAUCAUUGGGUUUAAAGGGUCCGCAGGCGGUCAAUUAAGUCAGAGGUGAAAGCCCAUCGCUCAACGAUGGAACUGCCUUUGAUACUGGUUGACUUGAGUUAUACGGAAGUAGAUAGAAUAAGUAGUGUAGCGGUGAAAUGCAUAGAUAUUACUUAGAAUACCGAUUGCGAAGGCAGUCUACUACGUAUAUACUGACGCUGCGGGACGAAAGCGUGGGGAGCGAACAGGAUUAGAAACCCUAGUAGUCC